AAAGCAGUAACUCAAUGUCAUUAAAACAGUUUUGAUCUUUGAGUGAUAUAUGCCUUGUGAGGAAAAAAUUCAAUUGAAUCCAUUUUUGAAUUCAGGCUGUAUCAAAAUGUUGAAUACGUCAAGAGGUCUGAGUACUUUAUGAAGGCAUGCCUUGAACUUUUUUUCCCCCACUUUUUAUGAUCUCAUUUCAGAUCGUCUUAAUUUUUUCUUCUUAACUGUGCCAUCUUCCUUCUCAGGCAGUGUUCACCAGUAAAUUCCAUAUUUUGAAUACAUACGACUGGAAGGACACAAUGGAAAUGACCGUCAUCGGACUGAGGUAGAAAAUCUGCUUCCAGUGUGAACAUGUUAGAGCAGCAGCUAGACGAGAGAUUAGAAUCAGUCCAGGAAACACCCUUCAUUUCCCCAUGCGGUCGAAGUUUUGAACAAAACAUUGCUUAAAACUAACUCGUUUNNNNNNNNNNUACCGUAGUAAAACCACAGUGAGUGAUUACUUAGAUAUACCUGUAAAUAAUGCUGUGAAUCCCACUGGUAAAUCUUUUAAAAUGUUGUCCUUAGAUGAUAGACUCAGCGCUAACAGCAGUGACAAAGCAGUAACUCAAUGUCAUUAAAACAGUUUUGAUCUUUGAGUGAUAUAUGCCUUGUGAGGAAAAAAUUCAAUUGAAUCCAUUUUUGAAUUCAGGCUGUAUCAAAAUGUUGAAUACGUCAAGAGGUCUGAGUACUUUAUGAAGGCANNNNNNNNNNACCAAUCUAUACUGUUAUUUCUCACCCACAGGGUAAUGGUCAGUGCUCCAUAUCAGAAGAAUGGAUCUGGUGGAAUCUGUAGAUGUGCUCAAGACCGAACAAACUGUACAGACUGUUACACUCCUCAAGAAACUGACACAAUCAAGUACAUUGGACUGUCUAUGGUUGCACAAUCUACUUCUCCUCCAACGUUCACUGUAAGAUAAACCACCAAACAUUUAAUUUGAUCACGUUCUUGUUUUCAAAUACUCCAUGUGAGUGUACCGUACAUAUGUAAUAUGUUUGGCAGCAUUUACAUAGGCAGCCCGAUUCUGAAUUUUUCUUCACUAAUUGGUCUUUUGACCAAUCAGAUCAGCUCCACCAAUUAGUGGAACAAAGAUCAGAAUUGGGCUGCCUGUGUAAACCUAAAUGACUUGUUUCACUUGAGUUAUAAAACAACACCUCAGCAAUCUAAAAAUGAUCAUGGCAAAUUACAGUAACUCUCUCUUUUGAAGACAGAGGUCCACCAGACAAUCCAUUAUUUUAUCACAUUUACAAUAAGGUGACCACGUUUCUGAAAUUAAAAUCGGGGAUAUUUUCAGUUCGGCGGUCAAUAUAUCAUUAAAAUAUCCGUUAUUAUCUAUGAAAUAAAAAAAAAGGGGGACAAUUCCGGGUUUAGUGUAGUUAGUCUAACAGGCACAUUGUGACAGAGAAAACAACUGUUACAGAAACACUACAGACUAGACAGAACUGUCCAAUCUGAACAGCCAUUCAGUGGUCCUGGUAGCCUGGGUAGAAGAAGAGCAUAAGAGAACUGUAAUGCCCGGGGUGUAGUGGAGGAAGAAGUCAGACGCAGGAAACAGAAAGUUCAGAGUAGCGAUACUUCUUUAUUCACCACACAGGUGAAAACGACGCCACUCAAACAAAUGCCCCAAAACACAGGGGAACGAAACAGUCCCGAACAACACACCUACACGCAAAACCGUGACUUACAGGCGUACACAUAAAACAAUCCCGCACACCCAGCAGGCGGGCCGGGUGGCUAAUAAAGCCCAACCAAUUAACCUAACUAAUACAUAACUAAACGCAGGUGUAACUAAUAAACAGACAAGGGGGGGAUCAGUGGCAGCUAGUAGGCCGGUGACUACAACCGACCUCCGAGCGCCACCCGAACAGGAAGGGGAGUCACCUUCGAGUCGUGACAAGAACAUGAGGUAAAUUGAAAAAAACAGGCAAUAGUAUUUGUGAAAUACUUAACAACAUAAUAAAGAAAUAAGACGAUGAUGUGAUUGGUAACUACAUAAUAUACUUAUACCAACCUAAUCUGUAUAUUUCUCAGAAGAAUGUAUCUUCUUCAGGAUUGCUCUCUUUGGCCAGCUUCACCGUGAACUCCUGGCAGGGGAGGUUGCUCUUCUUACUCUCUUAACUUUUUCUUCUGCUCCAAUCUUUCUCCUCCUCUUCUUUACCCAUCUUCCUUCUCUUUCUUCCUUCUCUUUACCUUUCCACCUCACUCUUCUACACUCUCCUCGCUUCACUCGUUUUACUCCCUUCAUUUCUUCUUCUCCUUCCUCUCUAAUCUUUAAUAACAAAUAGUAACGUAAACUCACCCCAUUCCGUACAAAUGUGCGCAACCGCGACAUUCAAACAAGGCUGCAAAGAAAACUAAUGGGACUGUAGCGACUGUGUUGACUUCGAAAUCUGGGGUGUGAACUAGGUUUCUAUUCAAGUGUUGAUGGACAUGGUAACUGCAUGUCACUGCAAGCGAUCAUGACUCAAAAGCCACUGUUUACUUCUGAAGAUCACUUUAGCACCACCCUAAAAACCCGAUUCAAAUUCGACACAAACCUUCAAAUUAGGUAUG
rnacentral:lncRNA from 13 species